UGCCUGGAGAUGAUGAUGCUUACAAGCACAUAUCUAAAUCAUUUAAUGUGGACAUAUUUUUCACUGAAUCUCCCUGCU
ensembl:snoRNA small nucleolar RNA SNORD121A